UAUGCACUUUCACCAACACAAAGUAAAUUGCCUCGAAUCUGAAUAAAUUUUAAGUCGGAACUGAAUCUUUAUUUAGCGAUUGCUUUAUUAUCACAAGAUCAGUGAUGGCAGAAUGCAGAGAUCCCUGAAUGCAGUAUGAUCCCCCCCUUGGUGUGUUUGUGGCUUUUCACAAACAUUGCAGUCUAGAAGUCUGGUGCCAGCUAACUUUGCCUUGUGUCAUUUUUUUUUCAAUGACAAGAAUAUGCACACAUGUGUUUCCUGCUUGAGUGUCUGAGGAAGGACUCCCAAUCAGCAGAAAAACAUCCAGAGAGGCAGACUGAGAUUGGACAGUGAUCUACAGCAGCCAUCUACAGGGUCACUGUGGGAUGAAGGGAGAAAGAAGUAAGCUUAUAUUUACAUAUCCCCCAAAAAAGGGUCCCAGAGACCCAGUUACCAUGUUAGAAAUGCCACAUUCAAGCCAGUGGCUGGAUUCUCAAUGACAGGGAAACCGCAGGACUGGCUGAUACUCUAAGUGAGGACCAAGAACAGCUCAGUUAAAGGGUAUUGUUUUCCGUGCAUUCAACAUGACUGCAAGCCCUCUGCAUUUAAAAACUGAGUUCCACAUGAUUGCAAUGCAAAGCACUGAAAUCAGAAUAAAAAAUGAUAAAUUCUCAUUAAGUGGUGCUUUCAUAUAUGAAAGAGUUUGUUUAAGGUUUCUAUAAAAG
ensembl:lncRNA